AGCUUCGUAGCUCAGUUGGCUAGAGGUUUGGCUGUUCUAAAGCCUUCCCCUUGCUGGCGUGGGUUCGAAUCCCACCGAGGCCG
rnacentral:tRNA from 1 species